UUUCGAUCCCUUUCUUUCAGGUUGGUUGAUAUAUAGAAUAAGAAAAAGCAUGGGCAUGGGAAUGGCCUUGGGUCAGUAAGUUGCGAGUGCGAGUGCAAGUACAGAAGAAUGGAUUCCGCAAUAGCCCAGAAAACAUGGGAGUUAGAGAACAAUAUACUAGCAGUGGAAGCGCCUGACCCUUCAUCCGACUUCAUAUUUUACUACGACGAGGUGGCUCAAGCCAUGUCCCUCAAAGCCAAGCCUUGGGGCAAUGAUCCCCACUUUUUCAAACGCGUUAAGAUCUCCGCCCUCGCUCUCCUCAAGAUGGUCAUCCACGCCCGCACUGGUGGCCCCAUUGAGGUCAUGGGCCUCAUGCAAGGCAAGACCGGUGGCGAUGCCAUCAUUGUCAUGGACGCCUUUGCUUUGCCUGUUGAAGGCACAGAAACCAGGGUCAAUGCUCAGGCCGAUGCCUACGAGUAUAUGGUCGAUUAUUCCCAGACCAACAAGCAGGCUGGUCGAUUAGAGAAUGUUGUUGGAUGGUACCAUUCUCAUCCAGGGUACGGUUGCUGGCUCUCUGGAAUCGAUGUUUCAACCCAAAUGCUUAACCAGCAAUUUCAGGAACCUUUCCUGGCGGUUGUAAUUGAUCCAACCAGGACUGUUUCUGCUGGAAAAGUCGACAUUGGUGCUUUCAGGACAUACCCUGAAGGUUAUAAACCUACUGAUGAUCCCAUCUCAGAGUACCAAACCAUUCCUCUCAACAAAAUCGAAGACUUUGGCGUCCACUGUAAACAGUAUUAUGCUUUGAAUAUCACUUAUUUCAAGUCCUCUCUUGAUUGUCAUCUCUUGGAUUUGUUAUGGAACAAGUACUGGGUCAAUACCCUUUCUUCUUCACCUCUUCUUGGCAAUGGAGAUUAUGUUGCUGGACAACUUUCAGAUUUAGCUGAAAAGCUGGAGCAAGCAGAGAAUCAUUUGACACAUUCUCGUAUUGGUCCCCUGGGGACCUCUCGAAAGAAGAUACCAGGAAGAAUCACAUCUUGGUAAGAUUACGAGAGAUAGUUCAAAGAUAACAGUAGAGCAAGCCCAUGGUUUAAUGUCACAGGUUAUCAAAGACAUCCUUUUCAACUCGGUUAGACAGUCAAAAUAGGUGUGUGGUGAGGCUAUCAGCCAAAGAUGAAAUGAUUACAGCUUGAGAGACCCAUUUUUAACAAGAAAAAAGGGAAAUUGAUUGCAGGCUGAAUAGCUUUGUAAAUCCUUAGUUGUGGUGGUCUUCUUGGAACUAAGCUUUUUCAUUCUUGGACUUUUUUUUUAUUUUUUUCUUAAGUAGGUUUCAUGAAUAUGUUGAAAUCUUAGAAUUGAUUUCUCUGACUCUUCUGUGCUUUGCUAAUGCUUUUUAAUUAGAAUUUUUUUUCAAACCA